CCUACGGGUGGCAGCAGUGGGGGAUAUUGGACAAUGGGGGAAACCCUGAUCCAGCGACGCCGCGUGAGUGAAGAAGUAUUUCGGUAUGUAAAGCUCUAUCAGCAGGGAAGAAAGUAAUGACGGUACCUCACUAAGAAGCCCCUGCUAACUACGCGGCAGCAGCCGCGGUAAUACGUAGGGGGCAAGCGUUAUCCGGAUUUACUGGGUGUAAAGGGAGCGUAGACGGGAAUGCAAGUCUGAAGUGAAAGGCGGGGGCCCAACCCCCGGACUGCUUUGGAAACUGUAUGGCUGGAGUGCAGGGGAGGUAGGUGGAAUUCCUAGUGUAGCGGUGAAAUGCGUAGAUAUUAGGAGGAACACCAGUGGCGAAGGCGGCUUACUGGACUGUGACUGACGUUGAGGCUCGAAAGCGUGGGGAGCAAACAGGAUUAGAUACCCGGGUAGUC
rnacentral:rRNA from 1 species